rnacentral:tRNA from 2 species
GUUGAAAUGACUGAAGAAUUAGGUGGUAAACUGUAAAUUUAUUUAUGGAUUUGAGUCCUUUCAAUA